CCUACGGGAUGCACCAGUGGGGAAUAUUGGGCAAUGGACCAAAAGUCUGAUCCAGCAAUUCUGUGUGCACGAUGACGUUUUUCGGAAUGUAAAGUGCUUUCAGUCGGGAAGAAGUCAGUGACGGUACCGACAGAAGAAGCGACGGCUAAAUACGUGCCAGCAGCCGCGGUAAUACGCAUGUCGCAAGCGUUAUCCGGAUUUAUUGGGCGUAAAGCGCGUCUAGGCGGCAAGGAAAGUCUGAUGUGAAAAUGCGGAGCUCAACUCCGUAUGGCGUUGGAAACUGCCUUACUAGAGUACUGGAGAGGUAGGCGGAACUACAAGUGUAGAGGUGAAAUUCGUAGAUAUUUGUAGGAAUGCCGAUGGGGAAGCCAGCCUACUGGACAGAUACUGACGCUAAAGCGCGAAAGCGUGGGUAGCAAACAGGAUUAGAUACCCGUGUAGUC
rnacentral:rRNA from 1 species